ACAGCUUAGUCGGUAAAGCAUGAGCCUCUUAAUCUCAAGCUCGUAGGUUCGAGCCCCACAUUGGGCA